GAUGAACGCUAGCUACAGGCUUAACACAUGCAAGUCGAGGGGAAACGAUAGAGAAAGCUUGCUUUUUCUAGGCGUCGACCGGCGCACGGGUGAGUAACGCGUAUCCAACCUGCCCACCACUUGGGGAUAACCUUGCGAAAGUAAGACUAAUACCCAAUGAUAUCUCAAGAAGACAUCUGAAUGAGAUUAAAGAUUUAUCGGUGAUGGAUGGGGAUGCGUCUGAUUAGCUUGUUGGCGGGGUAACGGCCCACCAAGGCGACGAUCAGUAGGGGUUCUGAGAGGAAGGUCCCCCACAUGGGAACUGAGACACGAUCCAAACUCCUACGGGAGGCAGCAGUGAGGAAUAUUGGUCAAUGGGCGAGAGCCUGAACCAGCCAAGUAGCGUGCAGGAUGACGGCCCUAUGGGUUGUAAACUGCUUUUAUAAGGGAAUAAAGUGAGUCUCGUGAGGCUUUUUGCAUGUACCUUAUGAAUAAGGACCGGCUAAUUCCGUGCCAGCCGCCGCGGUAA
rnacentral:rRNA from 1 species